rnacentral:misc_RNA from 1 species
ACAAAUUACAAGAGAACAUUUUUACCAAUCACCAUUACCAAAAUCACAGUUACCCAGCAAUUAUUCUCCAACAUUAUCAGGAAAAACUAAUUAAGCAAUAGUAAAACAAUUAUUGGCUCAGCAGUGAAUUUCUCAAUGCUGUAUUCUAGAAUUCAACAAGUACCCGCUAUAAAUAAAUAUUUUCAAUGGUAUGAUCAAAAGAUUUGUUUCUGUUCAGCUUAGCUGAACUUUCGUUGAAAUCAGCCUUCCACCAGAAUCAAACUUGAGAAAAUUUCGUUAUGAAAAUAAAUGCUCUGUAGCAAAAUGUGAUAUGGUUUUUACCUUCAACUUCCCCAUGGAGGAUGAAACAUUAACGAUCCUUGGCGAAUCAGACAACUGGAGAAGUGGAAUAAGUGCCUCGGUCAUUCUUUUGGCACCAUAGUAGUUUAUUGUCAGGCAUUCUUCA